AAAAAUGUACGUAGUGUUUAGCUAGAGUCCGUUCGUGCGGCUUAACAUACAGCCCCGCCGUUUUAUCGUCGAAUUUAUGACCCUUCAAAAAAAUUCAAAAUAAGAUGCUGCGAUGUUCUGCAGUCCGGUUCAGUAUUGCACUGUGCAAGUGUGAUUAGCACAGCGCUGACACUGACGAGAUUUUAGUGAGUUCUUGUCGGCUGCACAGACGCUGUGUAUUCCCCUUGAUCUUUGGAGAAGGAACUCUCCUAUCAGUAAAACCAAAAAGAAGUGAUACAGUGAAGGGCACAUUGAAUGUACUGCAACCAUUUGAUGAUAAAGGACCAACAGCUUGCCUGGCAUCAAUGUACUUUGAUAAUGAUGGAGAUAUGACUUUGACUGACAACAAUGACAAAGUAUCAUCACAUUCUAAGGAUUUGGCACUUUUGUCCAAAAAGGACAGGUUAUAUUACUUGGCGGGAGUUUCUGAUAAUGGAAUUAAAAGCUGCACACAUAAAGGAAGAGCGUCUCAGAAAAAACAAGACAGCGAAAAGGCUACCACCGCAACACCCACUGUGGAAACGGAAGAAUGCCAAUCUAGAAAUGAUACUGCAAAGAAAGACACCAAAGAUUUUGCCAAGCUGAAUUUCAUGUCACUGACUGUGAAUGGGUUGAGAAUGCUGUUUGCAAAAACCGUCACGUUCAAUAUGCUGAUGACUGUCAGAGCCAUGAUCAUUUAAGAUUUAUUGGAAUCCCGAUAUGAGAUCUUCCACACCUUUGAAGACCAGGAUUCUGUGCCGAUUGGAAUAGUAGUUGGAAGAUGAAGAGUUUUGUUUUUCUUAUUCUGUAGUUUAGGUCAAGUUUCAGAUCAUUUCAACUCUGUAAUAGCCAUGCAACUCAUAUUCCAUUAUUCAUUAUAUAAGAGUAAGUUUUUGUUACUUUAUUCUUGUUUGACAUGUUGAAUAUUGAUCAUUCCUGCUGCCCAGCUGAACGGUUGAACAGAGCUGGAAUGCUGUGGAUGACAGCAAAGUUUUUUUUUUAUAGGACUUGAGCAUGUUGUUGUCUGUUCCCCUGUUCUGCCAAUAGUUUUGCAUGUCCUUGUUCACCUUGCUGUUUGCUUUGCUAACCUUGCAUGUGAAAAGCCUUGAUUAUGUAUUUAUCUUUAUUCUAAUUCAUUCAAUUCAAUAAAACUAUUUUACAGAUGCCACAU
rnacentral:lncRNA from 1 species